rnacentral:rRNA from 1 species
GUAGGUGGCAAGCGUUGUCCGGAAUUAUUGGGCGUAAAGCGCGCGCAGGUGGUUCUUUAAGUCUGAUGUGAAAGCCCCCGGCUCAACCGGGGAGGGUCAUUGGAAACUGGGGAACUUGAGUGCAGGAGAGGAAAGUGGAAUUCCACGUGUAGCGGUGAAAUGCGUAGAUAUGUGGAGGAACACCAGUGGCGAAGGCGACUCUCUGGCCUGUAACUGACACUGAGGCGCGAAAGCGUGGGGAGCAAACAGGGAUUAGAUACCCUGGUAGUCCACGCCGUAAACGAUGAGUGCUAAGUGUUGGGGGGGUUUCCCGCCCCUCAGUGCUGCAGCUAACGCAUUAAGCACUCCGCCUGGGGAGUACGGUCGCAAGACUG